GGAAGAGAAGCCAUUCUGUUGGGUUUUCCACAUACUGUCUUCAGAAUACCAGUGCCUCUGGAUGCCGCUGUGGUUUGGGGAGACAGCCACCUGAAGAUAUUAAACGCAAUGAGGCAAGAUUUUACAUAAUUUCCGUUUCUCUCCUUUAGGAAAAGCAAAGCCUUUUCUCCUGAUUCACCAAAUUAACACUGACCACCAUCGUCACUAAUGAAGUUCCUAUGGUCUCAGGAACGGAAGUCGUGGAACAGUCAGGGGCCUGGGCCCCUAGAGUGAAGAGGCCAUGUCAGGAGCUCCCUGUGUUAGGCCUGGGAGGUUUGAAGAAUAUGUACAUUGAAGACAGAAAUACACGACACAGGGUUGGGCCAGUUUGAAGGAGCUCGGAAUUUGGUGCCACAGAUGUCCAGAAGGAUACUUCCAGCUGUGUCCAGAUGAGCAGGAAGAAGGCACAGACUCACCGUCAGAUGCUGGUGGUGUCGUGCUCACAGAUCAGUGCUCCCUACCAGGAGGGACGUGACCAGGACCUGGCUUCUGCCUAGACCAGG
rnacentral:lncRNA from 1 species